CUUUCAUGGGUUGUGCCACUUCUAAGCUCGACGAUCUCCCUGCGGUUUCUCUCUGUCGCGAGCGUUGUGCUUUUCUUAACGAAGCCAUUCGGUUUCGGCACGCGUUCGCUCAGGCUCACACCGCUUAUCUUCUCUCUCUUCAAGGGGUUGGCAAAUCUUUGCACAAUUUUAUUGAACCGGGUUAUGUUUAUUCUGACCCCUCUUCUUCGCCUAAGCUCAAGCUUCCUACUCAGAGGAAGGGCGACCCUGAUCUUGAACUUUCUAAUUCUCCUCUCCAUCGUUUAUCUCACUCCAAUUCCGGUUCUCAUCUCCAAUUACACUCCGAUUCCGACGAUGAUUCCAGUUCCCUUCACCAUUCCGACCACUCUUCACCUUUGCAUCAGACCCACGACGAUUAUUUUGACUACUCAGAUGGG
rnacentral:misc_RNA from 1 species